rnacentral:rRNA from 1 species
GACGAACGCUGGCGGCGUGCCUAAUGCAUGCAAGUCGAACGCAUUCUUCGGAAUGAGUGGCGCACGGCUGAGGAACACGUGACUAACCUACCCCGGUGUGGGGGAUAACGGGUCGAAAGACUCGCUAAUCCCGCAUACGAUAUCCUUUGGAUAGGAAAGCGGUAACGCGCACUGGGCGGGGGUCGCGUCCCAUUAGAUGGUUGGUGUGGUAAUGGCGCACCAAGUCGAUGAUGGGUCUCUGGUCUGAGAGGACGACCAGACAGAUUGGGACUGAGACACGGCCCAAACUCCUACGGGGGGCAGCAGCAAGGAAUUUUCGGCAAUGGGCGCAAGCCUGACCGAGCAACGCCGCGUGGAGGAUGACGGCUCUUGGGUUGUAAACUCCUUUUGGGGGGGACGAUGAUGACGGUACCCUCCGAAUCAGGCCCGGCUAACUACGUGCCAGCCGCCGCAGUAAUAC